AUUACGUCGCCUAAAUAUUACAUUUUAGCUACUUAUCCAGUUGAAACAGACGGUUUGUAACGUUAGGGUGGUUGUUUUAAUCCCGGUUACCGGGUUAAAAACGUAAUAAGAGCUGAGUGUGAACGGUUCAGAGCGAUUAAGUCAGAACAAGUCGGAGGCAGAGAGAGAAGCAGAGCUACGAGUCGUGCACAGGGUCAUAUCUAAACUUUGUAUCCCCCACGCCAAAAGACUACACAACAGAGAGGUUCUCCAUUAGCUGAGAGAGUGAAGCAGCGUUAAACCGGAGAGAUGUGGAGGAUCAACUCACGUCUGACGGAGUGCGGUUCCGCAACUCUAGAUGAAUCCUCUUCUUCAUGUCCAUCCUGGAUCAGCAGCGCGUUACACCACCGCGAUACACACGAUAUAAUACACACACUUUUAAUAAUUACUGCAAAUGCAACUAGCACCCUCCAGAGCAGACUGCUGUUGUUCAUUCAAACUUGAUCCGCUCGGUGGGCGGGCGCUCGGCACGGCUCGGGAUUGUCGUCACCGCCGACCAAUGAGGCGAGCCAGAUAGAGAGGGAACGGAUCUACAGACACCAGGGCCAAUGAGGACUCCCUCAUCACACUGGGUGGGGUUUUGUUGUCGAAGUUUGGUUGUUUUGUUAACUUAAGUUUACAUGGCUGCUUUUAAUGUUUUACACACUGAAUACAUGCCAUGAGGGAGAGGGAUGCCUUCAGGUCUGUCAGUGCACAUUUAUUAUCACUAUUAAACAUGCAACACACUUUAAGCCUUGUUUUAUAAACUGGUAAGUAUGGAGAGCUCUUGGGUUUUAUUCUGUCAUAAAAUGAAAUGCACAUGAUUAAUUUGUCUCCAAUACUCACAAAAGAGAAAAAACAGGUUAAAUCACACAUGUGACAGGAAAAAACACAAUACACAAAAUAAAAUUGCACCUGUUUUUUUAUUUUUGGGUUUUUUUUUUUAUGGAUGGAUGACUGCUGUAGCAUUUAACCAUAUAGAAUGUGACAAAAAACAAUUAUAGUUAUCAUAGACAAUAUUCUUUUUUAAAAAGUGUCUGUAUAUCUAAUUUACUAACUCAAAUAUAACAAAAACUGCUGAAACUCUGCUUCAUUACAGACUUAAAUAGAAUGUAGAUUUAGUUAUCGCAGGUAAUACAUAUACGCAUGAUACAUUUGUCACAAUACUCACAAAAGAGAAAAACAGGUUAAAUCCCACAUGUGACACAGGUAAAAGGAAAUUAAAUGGGAGGGGGGAUAACAGUAGGUCGUUGUGCCCAAAACUGAAGCAUGACAGGAAAAAACACAAUACACAAAAUAAAAAUUCACCUUUUUUUUUAUUAUUAUUAUUUUAUGGAUGUAAAGCAUUUAACCAUAUAGAAUGUGACAAAAAUCAAUUAUAGUUAUCAUAGAUAAUAAUUUACUAACUCAAAAAUAACAAAAACUGCUGAACCUCUGCUUCAUCACAGACUUAAAUAGAAUUUAGAUUUAAUUAUUGCAGGUAAUACAUAUACGCAUAAUACAUUUGUCCCAAUAUUCACAAAAGAAAAAAACUGAUUAAAUCCCACAUGUGACAUGGACAUGCAAAGGAAAUAGAAAAGAAAUUGGGGGGGAAACAACAAUAAAUAGUAUGUAAAACAAACAAGCCGUUGUGCUCAAAUCUGAAGCAUUGCAGGAAAAAAAAAAAAAACUUAAAACAGAUUCACCUGUUUUUUGUUUUGUUUGUUUUCCUGGAAAAUAGAUGAUAACUGCUGUAGCAUUUAACCCUAUAGACUGGGACCAAAAUCAAUUAUAGUUAUAGAUAGUAUAAAAAGUGUCAUUAUAUUUCAUUUACUAACUCAACAUUUUGACUCUCUAACUGGCUUGCCCAAAGUCUUGAUAACAAUAACUGCUGAACCUCUGCUUCAUUACAGACUUAAAUGUAAGUUAGCAUGUAGAUUUGAUUGUUGAAGUAUUACACGCAUAAUACAUUUGUCCCAAUACUCACAAAAGAAAAGAAAGGGGGACAACAGUAAAUAGUAUGCAAAACAAACAAGGUGUUGUGCUCAAAGCUGAAGCAUGUCACAGAAAAAAAACACAAAAUAAAGAUUUACCUGUUUUUUGUUUUUCUGGAAAA